rnacentral:lncRNA from 1 species
CCGGGAGGAGGAAAUAAAUAAAUAAAACAAUCACCUCCGCGCCAAUAAGAGCGAGGGAGAGAGCAAGACGCGACCAGAGAGCCACCGGGGCCCGCUCGCGCGCCUCUGAGAGGCUGUCCGCGCGCGCGCGUGUGUGCGUGAGUGUGGAUUUGCCGGGACUGGAGCUGGAAAGUUCAAACUAAACGUGUUGCUCUCGCCGAGUGCCGAGGCCGCGGCGGAGGCUGCCCAACUUCCCCGGGCCAAGUGAGUGGCGUUGCCCAGCGCCUUUGGCGAGGCGGCGGCCGCUCGGCCCUGCGCCCGGCCGCGGCGGCGGCGGCUCCGCUCGCCCCGGGAGGGAGCCCGCGGCCAGGGCUGGACUCUCGCCCCGCCACCUCCACCGACUCUCUCCUCAGCCUCCGCGCCUGGCACCGCAGCAAGACUUGAAUGAAGUGAUCAUGUAAACUAGAGAAAGGAGAUUAAAAAUAACCUCUGGAUAUUCCUCUCAUGUGAUCUUUAUUCUGGAUGAAGCAUUAGGACAGCUAAUAGCCGUGUGUCACUUAAAAAUCCAACUUGAGAACUGUCACCAAAGAUGUCUAGGAACUUUGAAGAAACAUGAAGCAAUCUUCGGCAGGGUUAUGUCUUGAUUACUACAAGGUCCUAUUCUCAAGAGUGGUGUUCACAGUCUAGAUCUAAGGUGUGAUUUCUUCCCUAAGACUAAGGACCCAUCAUUUUAGUGCAACCUUCUUCAUUUAAAUGGAGAGUUGUAAUUGCCAAUGCUCACAGCUACUCCUGCUCUGGCAAUUUGCUGCCAGAAGUGUGUUUUCCUUUUUAAAAGAAAAUCAAACUACCUGUAGCUACUUGGGGAAUGAUGAAGAAAUAGAGAAGUCUUUGUGGGGUUUCAGGAGCCAUUUGAUUCAAGUAAGUCGGUGAGUAGCCUGCCCGACCGGAGGAAGCCAGACUGACCCAUAAUGACUCCAACCAUCCAACAAGUGUGGAUUGACCGCCUACUGUGUUCAGUGUGACAUGGAGGGGAGAUGAAUUUUUAAGAUGAGAGAGGAGGCCGGGCGCGGUGGCUCACGCCUGUAAUCCCAGCACUUUGGGAGGCCGAGGCGGGCGGAUCAUGAGGU